CCUACGGGAGGCAGCAGUGGGGAAUAUUGGACAAUGGGCGAAAGCCUGAUCCAGCCAUGCUGCGUGUGUGAAGAAGGCCUUCGGGUUGUAAAGCACUUUCAGUGGGGAAGAAAGCCUUGGGGCUAAUACCCUCGAGGAAGGACAUCACCCACAGAAGAAGCACCGGCUAACUCCGUGCCAGCAGCCGCGGUAAUACGGAGGGUGCGAGCGUUAAUCGGAAUUACUGGGCGUAAAGCGCGCGUAGGCGGUCUGAUAAGCCGGUUGUGAAAGCCCCGGGCUCAACCUGGGAACGGCAUCCGGAACUGUCAGGCUAGAGUGCAGGAGAGGAAGGUAGAAUUCCCGGUGUAGCGGUGAAAUGCGUAGAGAUCGGGAGGAAUACCAGUGGCGAAGGCGGCCUUCUGGACUGACACUGACGCUGAGGUGCGAAAGCGUGGGUAGCAAACAGGAUUAGAUACCCCGGUAGUC
rnacentral:rRNA from 1 species